ACACCAUGUUCCAUUGAUUGGAACUGCAAUAAAAAAGUGCAAUUCCAGUGCAAUUUCGGGGCAGAGAUUUGGCACCGAAAAAUUUGUCGGUGGAGCCUAAUAGGGUUUUCGAUUGAUGGCACUGUCACCGCGCCAGUGUUUUGCACUGGCACGGUGCCAAUGGAACAUACCAUUGGCAAAUCGAGUGUGCGCUUGAAUGUGUGCGUGUAGUUAAACAAGCUGUCAUUGAUCAGCAGAUGCUUUACUGUUUACACUUUCUCGGACUGUUUAGUGUAGAAUGUUAAUUUUAAGGAUUUUUUUAAACAAAUUUUGUCAGUUGCUAGAAGGAAAUGGAUUUUCUCCGCAUUACAGCGACCGCUUAUCUGCCAGAGUCAGUAAGGGGAUCAUUGCGGCCACGACACUUGACAUUGUAGAGAAUCUUUCGCUGCGCGUUUGGCCAAUGAGCGCCAAGGAGGUAAAUCCCCUUUACAAUUUUGCCGAUAUAUAUAUUUGAUGCCGUUUCUGACCUAAAUUGAUUGGCUAAUCAAGGAACUUUAGGCAAACGGCCGCCUAGAUUCUAAUAUACUUGAUAGUUGAGCUAUGAUCCUGUUCCCUUCGUACGUUGGUUGUGGUGCUACUGCUGGUGUAGUCAAGAGAAACACAACAACAAGACUUAAUUUCGCACAUAAAACAGGAUAAAAUAAGCAGACUCUUAUCGUGUGUGCGGAUGCACCGACCAUUGCCAGGGAGAUGUCCGAGUAGAACUCUACGUAAAUAAUCUGCAAGCAUUUGGGCGUUUAAUAAUUUUAGAUUACCUCUCUAUUUCUUUCCAUCGUUCUUAAACACCAACGGAUACGAACAGCAGCUCCAUGACACGUCAACAGCCGUCGCUGACAUUUGAAGGUAGCCGUUGCUUGUCAUAUGUAGAACGAUGCGCGAAUUAUUCUGUGUCCGUAAAUAGUAGAAGUGCGAAUCGAACUUUUUGAAACCUAAACUCUGUUGCUGGAAUUGACACAAUCCGCGAAUUCGGCAGAUGAAACGGUAACGCUCAACCAAACCGUUGAGAAUGUCCUGGAGAAGAAAUGCAUGUUGAUUGUUCUAUUGAAUUUUAAAAGUGAA